rnacentral:rRNA from 1 species
AUUGAACGCUGGCGGCAGGCCUAACACAUGCAAGUCGAACGAGUGGCGGACGGGUGAGUAAUGUCUGGGAAACUGCCCGAUGGAGGGGGAUAACUACUGGAAACGGUAGCUAAUACCGCAUACUGUCGGAUGUGCCCAGAUGGGAUUAGCUUGUAGGUGAGGUAAUGGCUUACCUAGGCGACGAUCCCUAGCUGGUCUGAGAGGAUGAUCAGCCACACUGGGACUGAGACACGGUCCAGACUCCUACGGGAGGCAGCAGUGGGGAAUAUUGCACAAUGGGCGCAAGCCUGAUGCAGCCAUGCCGCGUGUAUGAAGAAGGCCUUAGGGUUGGAAAGUACUUUCAGCGGGGAGGCGUUACCCGCAGAAGAAGCACCGGCUAACUCCGUGCCAGCAGCCGCGGUAAUUC